AGAGUUUGAUCAUGGCUCAGGAUAAACGCUGGCGGCGUGCCUAACACAUGCAAGUCGAACGUCCUAUCGCUUUUUCGGAAGCGGCAGGAAGUGGCGGACGGGUGAGUAACACAUGGGUACCUGGCCUCAAGUGAGGGAUACCGGCGAGAAAUCGCCGACAAGCCCGCAUGGGCUCGCGCGUGCAAGAGCGCGCGAGCAAAGCCUGCUGCGGUGGGCGCUUGAGGAUGGGCCUGUGGCCGAUUAGCUGGUUGGUGGGGUAAAGGCUCACCAAGGCUGCGAUCGGUAGCUGGUCUGAGAGGACGAGCAGCCACACUGGGAUUGAGAACGGCCCAGACUCCUACGGGGGGCAGCAGUGAGGAAUUUUCCGCAAUGGACGCAAGUCUGACGGAGCAACGCCGCGUGCAGGAGGACGCUUUUCGGAGUGUAAACUGCUUUACUGUGGGACGAGAUCGGACGGUACCACAGCAACAAGCCCCGGCUAACUACGUGCCAGCAGCCGCGGUAAUACGUAGGGGGCGAGCGUUAUCCGGAGUUACUGGGCGUAAAGCGCCCGCAGGCGGUGAGGUACGUUUUGCGUGACAGCUGCUGGCUUAACGAGCAGAGGAUGCGAAAGACGGCCUGACUUGAGGGCCAGAGAGGGACCUGGAAUUCCGGGUGGAGCGGUGAAAUGCGUAGAGAUCCGGAGGAACACCAAAGGCGCAGGCAGGGUCCUGGCUGGUCACUGACGCUGAGGGGCGAAAGCUAGGGGAGCGAACGGGAUUAGAUACCCUAGUAGUCC
rnacentral:rRNA from 1 species